rnacentral:rRNA from 1 species
UACGUAGGGGGCAAGCGUUGUCCGGAUUCAUUGGGCGUAAAGAGCGUGUAGGCGGCCAGGUAGGUCUGCUGUGAAAACCCGAGGCUUAACCUCGGGACGCCGGCGGAAACCAUCUGGCUAGAGUCCGGAAGAGGAGAGUGGAAUUCCUGGUGUAGCGGUGAAAUGCGCAGAUAUCAGGAAGAACACCCAUGGCGAAGGCAGCUCUCUGGGACGGUACUGACGCUGAGACGCGAAAGCGUGGGGAGCGAACAGG